GAGCGCUCGGCUCGCGCUCUGAGGAGACGAGAGCUGCACUGCACCAGGUGUUUGCCAUCAUCCAUCAGGCACACCUGCGGCAAUCAGGCAGCCCUCUACAAGAAGUCUCCCAGGACUACUGAACCCUGCGACUCUCCCUCCGCGACUUCCACGGCUCCCCGCGUCUCCCUCGUCCCCAGCGACCUUCACGUUUUUCCCCGGACCUCUCCUGCGAUCUCCCCCGUGUCUCUCUACCUGGACCCCUCCUUUCGGACUUGACUUCCCGGAUCUCGGAACCGGACUUCCUCGGACAACCCCUUUUGGAUCACGGACUGGACUUGCUUGCCAGACUCUCCCUCCGCGACUUCCACGACUCCCCGCGUCUCCCUCGUCCCCAGCGACCUUCACGUUUUUCCCCGGACCUCUCCAGCGAUCUCCCCCCGUGUCCCUCUACCUGGACCCCACCUUUCGGACUCGACCCGGACUUCCUCGGACAACCCCUUUUGGAUCACGGACUGGACUUUCUUGCCAGGUGCACGCACAUUAUUCAACACCUCUUUGUCAUUUACAUACCGCACCACACAUAGGCUAAGAACACUCACAAAUAGUUAUACAAGCAAACCACGGGACACCACACGUAGUUUAUUCACACAUCCCACUAACAGAACGCUUUUGCACCAUGCA